AUACGGAGGGAGCUAGCGUUGUUCGGAAUUACUGGGCGUAAAGCGCGCGUAGGCGGCUUUGCAAGUAGAGGGUGAAAUCCCAGGGCUUAACCCUGGAACUGCCUCCUAAACUGCAGAGCUAGAAUCCUGGAGAGGUGAGUGGAAUUCCUAGUGUAGAGGUGAAAUUCGUAGAUACUAGGAAGAACACCAGUGGCGAAGGCGACUCACUGGACAGGUAUUGACGCUAAGGUGCGAAAGCGUGGGGAGCGAACAGGAUUAGAUACCCUAGUAGUCC
rnacentral:rRNA from 1 species